rnacentral:lncRNA from 1 species
GACACACCUGCUCACAGACUUCUGCCACCAAACAUCUGCUCAUCACGUCUGGUCUCGUCGGAGUAUUUCCCUCAAACAGUAUCAGUCAUGUAUGUGUUUACAUCUAUGUUUUUAACUUCUUAGUUAAAUCAGGUUAAACUGUUUGGAGUUGAUGCUACAUAUAGGCAAGUCGAACAUUUUCUUAUAUUUAAUAUCGUUUUUGUUUAUAUGUACAGCCAUAUUCUCUUGUUUUAAUUAAUUUCGUUAAAUGAUUGUUUCUGCUUCACUUGAUAAUUUAGUUUGUGGAUUUAUUCAAUACUGAAAUGCUGCAGAUCCUGCAGUAGUAAAAACCAACACGGUGUGAGAAUUAGUUCCUUCGAUUAUGUCUCUUAUGGUAUUUCCGUACUGAAGCUUCUGGGCCUAUUGCAGUUACCUGAAAGUGGGAUCAAAUCUGCUCUUGAUGCAAGCCUUCGACCUCCAACAGGCUUUCCCUGCUUAAAUUGUUAUACGUAUGCAUGAAAAUUAUCAGGUCCAUUCUAUCUUACUUGCUUUUUCUAUAAUAACUAUGUUACUCUCAUGUGUGGUAUAUGAACAUAACUUUUGCUUAUCAUUUUCAAACUCUAGUUCCCCUUCAAUAAAACCCAUCAUCAUGGGGGAGUGAACGAGUCAUAUUAGAUGCCUAGCAUUUAGAAGUCUCUAAAGUCUAAACUACCAGUUGAAGUGAAAGUGAGUUAUUUGCCUGUUCAUUUCAGGAAACAUCUGGAGUAUAUUUUUUUGGACACUGAACUCUUCUGCACUUUUCUGUGACUCCAAACUUGCAGGGGAACUUUGGACUACUUCAUGCAAUAUCUGCUCAUAAAUUCACAGGCAUAGCCUUGCUUGCAAAUUGAGAUGGGCUGCUUUCCUUGGAUGUUUUACCAAUGCAAAGUGGUGAGUGGUGACCUGUUUCAGAGCCUGCCAAGUCAAAUAUCGCUGUCGGUUGAUAAAAAGGCGAAGUUGAAGUAUCAUAUUCAUAUUUGGAGGGGAAAAAGGGCUAAAAGAGAGACGUGAGACCCCAUUCCCAUUGCAUAGGGGUGUGAAUGUAUGUGCUGAUCGGCUUGGAUAUUGGAGCAAAAAGGCUGGCAUGCCAAUGCCCAUGCCCACUAUAUAUAUGCAAUGAAUAACUGCAGAGAUAUUACUGUACAUGCAUGCUUUCAACAAACAUAAUAAUAAUAAUAAUAAUAAGGGAGUACUUAAAUUACAUUCAGCUGUAACUUACACCACAAGAAUAGUGUGGGACUCGUAUAAUGUGUGUGAGUGGCGUAAAUUAUCAUUAAAUGUAACUUAACAUUUGCCUAAUAAUAAUAAUAAUUGUGGAUUUUGGUUGUCAGUUUGUUUGUCGAGAGAAACAUUUCCAUCUAUACAUGGCUAUGCAUUCAUUUUACAAGUUUCAAUUCAUAAGCUAGUUCUAAAUAUCUCUAGAUAUUAUUUAUUAACCAGAAAUCCUUGGAUCCAAGAUGACGAUUCUUGCACUUGGCAAUACGGUUUUGUCCUUAAGGUUUCGCAAUUUCCUUUACCAGUAAUCAGUAAUGUCUAUGCAUCAUAUGAUAUGAGCUGGGGCAAUAUAAAUAUUACAUAAAUGUUAAAUUACAUAGCUCUUUUUGAGAAGAGAUGAAAAAUAUAAGUUGACAAUAAUUUUCUAGUCCGUAGUUGUAUACCGAUCAUCCGAAGAUAUGUGUUGGACUGUAGAAAUAUUCCAUAAGUGGCGUUUGCAAAAAUUAUGGGAAUAAAAUUCGAAAAACAAAGUGGGUAAGGGUAUGGGUUUGGGCUGCACGUGAGAAGCACGUGGCUUUGUAGAAUCGGAGGAAAGAUUUAAGAUACCCUGGGUUUUAGUUAUUUAGGGCUCUCCUCGUC